GUACUCUGAAGAGAGAGUUAACAGUGCGUGAAACCGUUCAGAGGUAAACGGGUGUAGUCAAGCUGCGAGCCUAGAGAACUAGUCGGGCCAGAAUGGCGUGAGUCUGAGCACCUAGAGCUGGUGCACGAGUCCGGUAUAUUGCCGGGUGCGGGUCGCAAGGCUCGUAUUCGCGGUGCGUCAUGUUUCGUGGCGUUGCGAGCUAGUGUAUCCAGUUGCUCUGCUGGCCCGCUAAUUUUCCCAAGGUAUUAGUCACGACCGUCGUUGCUGUCGGUCUGCUUCGUCUAAACCGUUUCGUGAGUAGUCUUGUGCUUCUUGCGUUGCGGGGGCAGGUAGCCGGUCGGAUGUGCCCUCGGGUGCGUUCGGUUGGUGUAAUCUGGCUGGGCGGAGUGGUACCUGUAACUGUGCAGUGCGGCGGGGCUGGCGGUGCGUUGUGUCAGCUGGGUGCGGGUUAUGCGUUGGCGUGGCGUGGGUAUGGCUGCUUGUUGCUGUCUCUGACGGCCUUGCGGUUGCCCUGUCGCGGUUUGGCGUGUGCUCGUGUCUGGUCAAUCUUCGCGUUGUGCCUACAGUCUGUGGCAUAGUGGUAGACGAUCCACCCGACCCGUCUUGAAACACGGACCAAGGAGUUUAACUUGUACGCGAGUCAAUGGGCGUGCUUUUCAGCAUACGAAACCCAAAGGCGCAAUGAAAGUAAAGGGUGGCCAUUAGGUUGCCUGAGGUGAGAUCCGGCUGUCUCUUGCCCUGACUAGUCAGACAAAGGAGCAGUGGGCGCAUCACCGGCCCGUCCCAUGGUGUAGUGCGGCUCUCGGGUCGUGCAGCAUCGGGGCGGAGCUUGAGCGUACAGGUUGAGACCCGAAAGAUGGUGAACUAUGCUUGCACAGGUUGAAGCCGGAGGAAACUCUGGUGGAGGACCGUAGCGAUUCUGACGUGCAAAUCGAUCGUAUGAUGUGAGCAUAGGGGCGAAAGACUAAUCGAACCAUCUAGUAGCUGGUUCCCUCCGAAGUUUCCCUAAGAUAGCUGAGUCGGGUGGAUCGUCUACCACUAUGCCACAGACUGUAGGCACAACGCGGAGAUUGACCAGACACGAGCACACGCCAAACCGCGACAGGGCGACCGCAAGGCCGUCAGAGACAGCAACAAGCAGCCAUACCCACGCCACGCCCACGCAUAACCCGCACCCUGCUGACACAACGCACCGCC
rnacentral:rRNA from 1 species